GGGGGAGUAGCCCAAAGGUAGAGCACUUGCCUAGCAUGCAGGGGGCCCUGGGUUCAAAUCCCAGCACUGCAA
rnacentral:tRNA from 1 species